UAAUACAUGCAAGUAGAACGCUGAAGCUUGGUGCUUGCACCGAGCGGAGGAGUUGCGAACGGGUGAGUAACGCGUAGGUAACCUGCCUCUUAGCGGGGGAUAACUAUUGGAAACGAUAGCUAAUACCGCAUAAAAGUCGAUAUCGCAUGAUAUUGAUUUGAAAGGUGCAACUGCAUCACUAAGAGAUGGACCUGCGUUGUAUUAGCUAGUUGGUGAGGUAACGGCUCACCAAGGCGACGAUACAUAGCCGACCUGAGAGGGUGAUCGGCCACACUGGGACUGAGACACGGCCCAGACUCCUACGGGAGGCAGCAGUAGGGAAUCUUCGGCAAUGGACGGAAGUCUGACCGAGCAACGCCGCGUGAGUGAAGAAGGUUUUCGGAUCGUAAAGCUCUGUUGUAAGAGAAGAACGAGUGUGAGAGUGGAAAGUUCACACUGUGACGGUAACUUACCAGAAAGGGACGGCUAACUACGUGCCAGCAGCCGCGGUAAUACGUAGGUCCCGAGCGUUAUCCGGAUUUAUUGGGCGUAAAGCGAGCGCAGGCGGUUAGAUAAGUCUGAAGU
rnacentral:rRNA from 1 species